GGCCUCGUAACUCAGUAGGCUAGAGCGUUGGCUGUACUAAAGCCUUCCCCUUGCGUGCGUGGGUUCGAAUCCCAUCGAGGCCG
rnacentral:tRNA from 1 species